GGCGGCCGCGCUCAUCGCGACCGCUCCCUCAGCGGCCUUCAUCAUCUGGCAGGACCCCUCCCGCCCCGCCAA
rnacentral:tRNA from 1 species